AGUCAGGUCCCCUGCAAGAGCAGUGAGUGACCUUAGCCACUGAGCUAUUUAGCACUUAGCCAUUUCUCUAGCAUACAAGAUAUGUCAUUCUCUUUAACAAAUGUGAUGGAUUGGGUAGUUUAAAAUAAGAGAAAAAUUAAUUAAAUGUAUUAUGUAUAUAUUUAUGUAUGUAUGGUUACAGUUGGAGUCAGAGACAAGGGGCAGACGAUGGCACCCUGUGGGCUGAGGGGCAGCAAUAAACCAUGAUGGCAAUAGAGGAUCCGAGAUGGUGAGGACAGACACUUGAGCUGAGGAAGCAGUGCUAUCCACUGUGUUCCUCCUCUUAAGGAUGUAGGUAAUGUGGGAAGAUGGAGGGCUGACAGGAGAUGCUUGUAGGAGAUUCCCAGGGAGGUGUCUAAGAAACACUUUCAGCUACUUUCCCAAAGCUAAGUGUUUCCAAAGAUGCUUGAAACAGUUGUGUAGAGAACAGGAUGGACCAAACUGGGAGAUGACUGAGCACCGGAUGUCCCUUGCAAUUCUCAGAGUGCCAUGAGGUGAGACCUCUGUGACAUCACAGGGUAAAUCCCUGCCUUAGUAAUAGCAGACUGCUUAGCCUGAGGAUAACUCAGAGUCCAGCAAGGAGGGCUGGGAUUCACACUUUGCAUGUGUGUCUGCCUAGGCUUGGGAUGUUUUCUGGGAUGGACUACCUGAAAUUCGUCACGUGAGUAGCUUACUCGGUGCGAAGCACUUCUUCACUGGGGUCUUAAGCGGGGGAGGCAGAAAUAGGGAGAGGGACUUAAAGUGUUUCGGAUUGAACACAGCUCUAAGAUUGUCUUCAAGAGCGCUAAGGAGAGCUAGAAACAGAUCAGAAGUCUCACAGUAAUGGGAAUGGCCACUCAAGACUGUAGGAAGUAGAACCCCUCACUCACCAGGAGGAGAGGCCUUGGAAAGAAGCCACAUAUAUACAUCUGGACCAGGACUUGAGCCCCCAGACUAGAUCAGGAAGGCAGGAACAGUGCUUUUGCCACACCCACAUUUGACCAUCACACAUAGCUUGUCCAGGGAAGGAGGCAGAGCAUCUUCCCUGGUGACUUCAGGCCAUGGCAAUAGCAAUCUUUGCAUGUGUACUCAGAGAGCUGCCACAAUAUGAGUCAAACAUCAAUGCCAGUACCACAGGAAACGCCAUGACAGCACCUACCCCUCUCAUUCUGUACUUAAAUACAUGUUUUCACUUUGUAGGUGUGUCGUACACGUUCUCAUGUAUGUGCUCAUGUCUGCAGGUCUACAUCCAUAUGUGUGAAAGUGCAUGAGGAGGACAUGGAAUGAUACCACAUAUCUUGCUACAAAUAUGUAUAAACAGUUGCUGUUUGUGGUCCCCCUCGCACCCACGAAUAACUGGGUCCUGCUGGAUGGAACAACACAUGCCAUUUAGAAUGUAACACCAUGUUUCUGCAGUUGAAAGAAGCGUUUCAGAAGAGGACCACUAAGUGAUGGUAGGAAGAAUUUAAUAUUUACCCAUUAAAGUAAAAUAUUAUUCAAAUAGAGGGACACUUCCUUCUCUUAUCUCAUGUUCAUCUCACAAGUGAAUUAAAGCCAUUAUAAGGAAUUGUUCUUUUAUUAGUUGCAGCAAAUCACAUGCUUAGCAGAUUUACUAUCUCCUGAAUAUCACCACUACCAUCACCAAACACUUACAGGGAACCUAUUGUAGACAGGAGAUGUAGUGCUAGGAGUUUUGCAUCUUUCUGGAAAGAUGGCAUAUUUAUAACAGAGACAGAUAGUAAUACAUUGGGUGUCAAACAACAAAUGAAACUUAAAAUAUGUGUAAUUGGAGUUUGACCAGGAGUCAUCAGAAGGAGGUGAGGGUUGGUCAGGGCUAUAUAGCAGAAGGCAUCUACUGUGUGCACUAUAGAGGAAAGGGAGUAGGAUCAGAUCAGGGAGUGUUAUGAGCAUAAGAGCUGAGCACAGGUGGCCCCAGAGUCUUAUUAUGCUUGAGUUUAUUGAUCUGUAAACAAUGCAGAGAUAUACAUUGAACUGGUAGGCUGGCUAGAGUAUUUACUAACCCUCAUGCGGUGCUUUGAAUGAGAAUGGCCCCAUAUGAGGUCAUUCAUAUGUUUGAGUACUUGGUCCCAGGUCAUGAAUUGUUUGGGAAAGAUUGGAAGGUGUGUGCUUUGUUGGUGGAGGUGUGUUACUGAGGGGCAGCAGGACGGAGUGCUUCAAGUGUCCAUUCACAGUGUAUUUUUGCUCUACUUCCUGUUUUUGGACUGGGAUAUGAACUGUCAGGCCCUGCUCCAGCACCCAGCCUGCCUGUGGCCAUGAUCCUUGCCAUGAUGGUAAUAGGCUCCUUCCCCUGCACUGUAUGGCCCAAAUAAACUGUUUUCCUAUUAAA